GUGGGGAAUAUUGGACAAUGGGCGCAAGCCUGAUCCAGCCAUGCCGCGUGAGUGAUGAAGGCCUUAGGGUUGUAAAGCUCUUUCAGUGGGGACGAUAAUGACGGUACCCACAGAAGAAGCCCCGGCUAACUUCGUGCCAGCAGCCGCGGUAAUACGAAGGGGGCUAGCGUUGUUCGGAUUUACUGGGCGUAAAGCGCACGUAGGCGGAUCGUUAAGUCUGGGGUGAAAUCCUGGAGCUCAACUCCAGAACUGCCUUCGAUACUGGCGAGCUUGAGUCCGGAAGAGGUGAGUGGAACUCCUAGUGUAGAGGUGGAAUUCGUAGAUAUUAGGAAGAACACCAGUGGCGAAGGCGGCUCACUGGUCCGGUACUGACGCUGAGGUGCGAAAGCGUGGGGAGCAAACAGGAUUAGAUACCCUAGUAGUCC
rnacentral:rRNA from 1 species